rnacentral:rRNA from 1 species
GCUUAUCACCAUUCCAGAUUGAAUAUACCCGAUCUCGUCUGAUCUCGGAAGUCAAGCAAUCUUCGGGCUUGGUUACUACUUGGAUGGGUGA